GUUUCAAGCAGGCAGCUCGCUCUUGCAUGGAUUAGCAUGGGAUAAUGAAAUAGGACUUUGGUGCUAUUUUGUUGGUUUCGAACACCGAAGUAAUGAUUAACAGGGACAGUCAGGGGCACUCGUAUUCCGCAGAGAGAGGUGAAAUUCUCAGACCCGCGGAAGACGAACCACUGCGAAAGCAUUUGCCAGGGAUGUUUUCAUUGAUCAAGAACG
rnacentral:rRNA from 1 species